CCAGGCACUCACUGUCUAAUGGAUUCUUCCACUGAUCAAAAUCCAAUAUGGCGGACUCAAUGAUAAUUUUCCAUACAUAUGGAAAGAAGAAACAUAUGAUAGUGGGUGAAAAAACACCCUCAUAUAUAAUGCUUCAUGAAUAUGCAAAACCAUGCCAACAGUCUACAGACUCCAGAUGGAAAGAGAUGGAGAAAGAAUUUCUAAAGGGGUAUUCAAGGACCCAUCCUCCUCCACACUAAUUCAUAUUGGAAGGAAUUGACAUCCAACUUGAAUAAAGAAUUACAGACUUCCAGAACAGAUCCUUUUAAAAAGGAGAGGCCAGAUCUUCAGAUGACUUUAUUGAAAAUGAGAAAUUUCUGAGUGGAAGUGACGAAUGUGGCAUGCAUACAAGCAGACAUCAGCAUUCCCUCCCUCUUGUUUGUAUCAGAGGUGAGCUUUUUGAGAAAGACUCAUGGAGGAAGUUUGAGAGUGUCAGUUCUCAUAUCAAAAAGUUAGCUAGCAGUAGGAGGAGUAACAAUUCAUUCCACAUUAUGACAUGAGAAAUACGUGACUAGAAAGACCUUAAAAAGGAGAUUUGGCAUUGUUUCAUGUGGAGAUUAAAGAACCUUCAAAAUAUAUAACACAGACAUGUUUCAGUUACUUGGGGAUAACACUUAUGAGGAAUUUUGCUAACUUUCAGAUUGGAAUGUGUUGCACAAGAAAUGCUUGAUCACAACCCUCUUCUGUUAAAAACCUUUUCUAUGCAAAUAAUUAGUGUAAAUGAAAUUUAGCUAUUUCAUUAGUAAACAUGUUUUCUGCA